rnacentral:rRNA from 1 species
CCUACGGGAGGCAGCAGUGGGGAAUAUUGCGCAAUGGGCGAAAGCCUGAAGCAGCGACGCCGCGUGAGGGAUGAAGGUCUUCGGAUCGUAAACCUCUGUCAGCAGGGAAGAACGGUCACUGUGCUAAUCAGCAGUGAAUUGACGGUCCCUGCAAAGGAAGCAACGGCUAACUCCGUGCCAGCAGCCGCGGUAAUACGGCGGGUGCGAGCGUUAAUUGGAAUUACUGGGCGUAAGGCGCUCGUAGGCGGUAGGUCAGGUCAAGGGUGAACGCCCCGGGCUCAACGUGGGAACUGCCUUUGAUACUGGCAAACUGGAGUGUGGAAGAGGAGAGAGGAAUUCCAGGUGUAGGAGUGAAAUCCGUAGAUAUCUGGAGGAACAUCAGUGGCGAAGGCGACUAUCGGGCACAUAACUGACGCUGAGGAGCGAAAGCGUGGGUAGCAAACAGGAUUAGAUACCCUGGUAGUC